rnacentral:misc_RNA from 1 species
UACGUAGGCUGCAAGCGUUGUCCGGAUUUACUGGGCGUAAAGCGAGCGUAGGCGGUACUAUAAGUCGCUUCUUAAAGCGUCCCGCUCAACGGGAUUGUUCGGAGUGAUACUGUAGUACUAGAGUUGUCGAGGGGUAACUAGAACUCUUGGUGUAGGGGUGAAAUCCGAUGAUAUCAAGAGGAAUACCUAGGGAGAAAUCAGGUUACUGGAGACAAACUGACGCUGAGGUUCGACAGCGUGGGGAGCGAAAGGG